GAACGGGUGAGUACACGUGGGUGAUCUGCCCUGCACUUUGGGAUAAGCCUGGGAAACUGGGUCUAAUACCGAAUAGGACCACGCGCUUCAUGGUGUGUGGUGGAAAGCUUUUGCGGUGUGGGAUGGGCCCGCGGCCUAUCAGCUUNNNNGNNNGGUAAUGGCCUACCAAGGCGACGACGGGUAGCCGGCCUGAGAGGGUGACCGGCCACACUGGGACUGAGAUACGGCCCAGACUCCUACGGGAGGCAGCAGUGGGGAAUAUUGCACAAUGGGCGCAAGCCUGAUGCAGCGACGCCGCGUGAGGGAUGACGGCCUUCGGGUUGUAAACCUCUUUCAAUAGGGACGAAGCGCAAGUGACGGUACCUAUAGAAGAAGCACCGGCCAACUACGUGCCAGCAGCCGCGGUAAUACGUAGGGUGCGAGCGUUGUCCGGAAUUACUGGGCGUAAAGAGCUCGUAGGUGGUUUGUCGCGUUGUUCGUGAAAACUCACAGCUUAACUGUGGGCGUGCGGGCGAUACGGGCAGACUAGAGUACUGCAGGGGAGACUGGAAUUCCUGGUGUAGCGGUGGAAUGCGCAGAUAUCAGGAGGAACACCGGUGGCGAAGGCGGGUCUCUGGGCAGUAACUGACGCUGAGGAGCGAAAGCGUGGGGAGCGAACAGGAUUAGAUACCCUGGUAGUCCACGCCGUANACGGUGGGUACUAGGUGUGGGUUCCUUCCUUGGGAUCCGUGCCGUAGCUAACGCAUUAAGUACCCCG
rnacentral:rRNA from 1 species